AAGGAAUCAAAAAGAAAAGCUGGAGUCACUGUGCCGAUCACUCCAGGCAGAGAGAAAGCAGAAUAAAACUGGGAGCAACAGCAGUGAUUCAGUCCCAGCCUGAUUAUUAUUGAUCCUCCACCUGAUUAUUAUUGAUCCAUGCGUUAAUCUCAUUGUGAAUUUUGGAAUAUUGUUUCAAAUUUUAUUAUGUUUCGUGUCGGCUUUGGUUUCUUAUUGAGGGGAUUCGCAGUGAUCAAAUGUAACCAACCCUUUAUGAGUAGUUUGCUUUUUUCGUCAGAUAGUUCUCUUUUCUUUUCUUGGAACCAAAAAAGUUGUUCUUGUUAUUGCACUGCUUUAGCUUAUUCUAGUACCUAUGUUGUGAUUGGCAUCCGAAGUUACUUUGGGAAAUUAGUGCAGUUUUUCUGGCUAGUUUUG
rnacentral:lncRNA from 1 species